UACGUAGGGCGCAAGCGUUAUCCGGAAUUAUUGGGCGUAAAGAGCUCGUAGGCGGUCUGUCGCGUCUGCUGUGAAAACUCAGGGCUUAACCCUGAGCUUGCAGUGGGUACGGGCAGACUAGAGUGCGGUAGGGGAGACUGGAAUUCCUGGUGUAGCGGUGAAAUGCGCAGAUAGUCAGGAGGAACACCGGUGGCGAAGGCGGGGUCUCGUG
rnacentral:rRNA from 1 species